AACUUUCAACAACGGAUCUCUUGGCUCUCGCAUCGAUGAAGAACGCAGCGAAAUGCGAUACGUAAUGUGAAUUGCAGAAUUCAGUGAUUCAUCGAAUCUUUGAACGCAUAAUGCGCUCUCUGGUAUUCCGGAGAGCAUGCUUGUUUGAGUAUCAGUAAACACCUCAAAUCCCUCUACUUGUUGGAGUAGUUUGGACUUGAGCAAUCCCAACUUUUCGAAAGAGAAGUCGGGUUGCUUGACAUGGAGGUGCAGCUAGAGUCUUUCUUCUGAGUUAUAAGCAUACUUAUAUAAUCCCGUAAAACGGAUUAUUACUUUUGCGGCAGCUACCAUAAGGGUUGAAGAGUCGCUAUGGCUGACUGAUGCAGGAUUUAACAUGUCGCGCAAGUGACCUGUAAACUCGAUCUGAAAUCAAGCAAGACUACCCGCUGAACUUAGGCAUAUCAAUAAGCGGAGGCU
rnacentral:misc_RNA from 1 species